rnacentral:rRNA from 1 species
AGACAGAGGCCUCAAGCGUUAGGCGGAAUCACUGGGCUUAAAGCGUGUGUAGGCGGAUCGUUAAGUGUCUUGUGAAAUCCCACGGCUCACCCGUGGAACUGCUGGGCAUACUGGCGAUCUUGGGCCAACUAGGGGCAACUGGAACAAGCGGUGGAGCGGUGAAAUGCGUAGAUAUCGCUUGGAACGCCAACGGUGAAAACAGGUGGCUGGGGUUGUGCCGACCCUGAGACACGAAAGCCAGGGGAGCAAACGGGAUUAGAUACCCCGGUAGUCCUGGCCCUAAACGAUGUCCACUAGAUUGCGGCGGGUUUGACCCCGUCGCGGUCGAAGCAAAAGUGUUAAGUGGACCGCCUGGGAAGUACGGUCGCAAGGCUAAAACUCAAAGGAAUUGACGGUG